CAGAGCGUAGCUAAAUAGAUAGAGCACUUCCCUUACACCGAAGAGAUAUCCGUGCAAAUCGGAUCGCCCUGA
rnacentral:tRNA from 1 species